CUUUGUUCUCAGGGCGGGGUGAAAUUCCCCACCGGCGGUAAUAGCCCGCGAGCGCCCUUUCACAUGAAAGGGGUCAGCAGAUCCGGUGGAACUCCGGGGCCGACGGUCAUAGUCCGGAUGAAAGAGAAGCGAC
rnacentral:ncRNA from 2 species